AUUGAACGCUGGCGGCAGGCCUAACACAUGCAAGUCGAGCGGAGCGGCGGACGGGCGAGUAAUGCCUAGGAAUCUGCCUUGUAGUGGGGGAUAACGUCCGGAAACGGGCGCUAAUAUCGUAUACUAUCAGAUGAGCCUAGGUCGGAUUAGCUAGUUGGUGGGGUAAAGGCCUACAAAGGCAACGAUCCGUAACUGGUCUGAGAGGAUGAUCAGUCAAACUGGAACGUGGCCACGGUCAAAAGUCCUACGGAAGGAAGCAGUGGGGAAUAUUGGACAAUGGGCGAAGGCCUGAUCCAGCCAUGCGGCGUGUGGGAGGAGGGUCUUCGGAUUGUAAGGCACUUUAAGUUGGGAGGCGUUACCAACAGAAUAAGCGCCGGCUAACUACGUGCCAGCCGCCGCGGUAAUAC
rnacentral:rRNA from 1 species